rnacentral:lncRNA from 1 species
GAGAGUAUGCUUUGAGGCCCAGGAGAAUAAAUAGAUGACGGUUUGGCUGCUUUCAGCAGGGAGCAAAUAGGCGGGUAGGACCAAGAUUGAACGUUGUUAUUACAGAUUGAUGAUGGGUUACUGAUUAUUUUAUUAAGAAAAGGGCAAAAUGUUUGCAUAAAUAAGUAAUUAAUUAAAUAUCUAAUUGAAAAAGAGAACAGUCAUGGACCGAUGAUGACAGUAGGUCUUAUGACAAGAGUUAUGAUUAAUUUAGGAUGGUUUACUGUGAGCAUGUGACAACAUGUUAAUAUUAUUCAAAAGUUUUGUCCAGUGAGUUAUAAUUAUAAAAAUGACAUAUUUUACUUAUAUAUUGUUAUAAGACAAUGAAUAAAUAGAUUCAUAUUUUAUUUAAAUGAUGCAAUCACACACCACUGAGGAGCCUUACUAUGAAAUAAGGAUAAUGAUUAUCCUGUUUUACACAACUCAUGAACAUAUUUUUAAAAAUCUAGGCUUUUCCUAUUUUGCAUAAUAUGCACAUAGAUACAUGCAUGUAAUAAUGUUUUGGUUCUGGGUUGCUACCCAUUUUACCAUUUUGCCUUUUCUUUGUAUAAUGAGCAACUGGUGAAAUUACUGCAUGAGUAAUUGAAUGAAUGAAUGAAUGAAUGAAUGAAUACAUCAAGUAGAGUCAAUCAUGGACUGUUGUUAAAGAUGUGCCGUAAAACAAAGAUUUAAAUUUAUCCGAUCAGUACAAGAAAGGUCCAUUAAAAAGGACAGUUCUCAGACUUUACCUGCAUAAAGUACAUAGAUGUGUUUAUAAUAGUCAUGGUUCCUGCUUGCGGGUUGAGUGGUGGGUUCAAUGGUGUUCAUUAUCUUGUUUAAAAUUAUAAUUAAAUAAUUGGGUAAAUAAACAGUAGUGAUAUUUUUGAGCCAAUGAAAAGAAGUAAGUUUUAUGUCUAAUGUAGAACCCUGCAAUUAGUAUCCUUUAAACAUACCUAAAUUUAUGUUUUUUCGUUAUUUUUUAAAGCUUGCUUUUUAUCUCAGUAUUAGCACACCUUAGUUGAUUUAAUCAUAUCAAAUGGUGAAGAUUUUGGCUGAUACCUCUGUGUUUAAGGAAUGCGUUUUCCCCAAGUGAACACCACAGAUGAUUUAGUCAUUCUCUGAUGCUAAAGAUCCUGGCUUUUACAAACCCUGUGGGUAAGGAGACAAGAGACUGAUGUAAGUGAUGGUUAAUGUUCUUGCUUGGGAGGUUGGUUUAUGGGUGCUGCUUGAAUUUUUCAAAGUAAUAAAUGGGUAUGUUAAUAAAUAAACCAAAUAACACCAGCACAGACCAGAAUUGAGAUUUAUGAUUAAUCUGAUUAGUACUACUAAAAUCCAAUAAAAAAGACUCCGAGUGUUUCAUUUAUUUUCAGGGCUGCUUCACAUUGUGUUUUAUUUUUCAUUGCACUUCAUUUAAGUACCUCUCCACUGAUAAAGAUUUAGGCAAUUAAUUCCUUGAGGGAGGAGCAGAGAGGAAGAUGGACAAUAUUGUUGGUGUUCUAGUUGUGGAGUAAGAUUAUAGGUCCCUUCGCUAUUUAUUGAACCAUCUUUAAAUGAAAAAAGACCAAGCGGGGACCAAUGGAACUGACAGGAAACAAGGAUGAUGAAUAAUUUAUAUAUGUCAUAAGCACAUAUAUAUGUUGCAAAAAGCAGCUUCGUCUGUUAGCACUUUGGGAAACGGGCAUACAGACAGUUAUUAGUGAUUGUCAAGGAUGUUGUUCUUGGGCUUUUUGAUUCAUGAGAAUUGAUUAUAUUAUUAUUAGUGAAUCAAUGAAUAAAGGAAUAAACAAUGCAUAAAUAAAGGAAGAAAAAGAU